AUACUCUAAAUUCUCUAAAUACAUAUACAGCAAGAAAAAUGGUGCUGUAAAUGUAAAAUACUGUAUUUUUGCUGUAAUUGAUUCACAGUAAGUUACUGGUGCCAGUAAGUUACUGUAGAUUCUAUAGAAAAUUGUUAACAGUGUAGAGUUUACCAGGCAGAACAAAUCUACUGCUGCUUAAAGGAAAAAAACAACAACUUUCAAACCCCAAAUUUUUUUUUUUUUUUUGCGUUGAAAUGGAGAAGGGUCUGGAUGCAGACAUGAUGCAGUCUCAGACCGGUGCAAUCUCAGCCAGACAUGCGCAUUCAGAGUGAUGCAAUCUCAGCCGGACAUGCGCAGUCAGACAGCACUCAACCGCACAUGCGGACACUCAUGCUGUGGAUCACUCAGUCAUAAAACAUCUGCAUUGACUCCUCAGAUGUCCACAUGUGCACUCUUUUGCACUCGUCAGACAUCCACUUCUACAUUCAUCAGACAUUUACUUCUACAUUCAUCAGACAUCCACAUUUGCACUCCUCAGACAUCCACAUCUACACCAACUGCUGUGUGUUAUGGAAACAUAUUAGCAUAUAUUGUGACAGAAGCAUUAUAUAUCCUUAUAAAUCAUUCUUUUUCUUUUUGGCUUAGUCACUUUAUUAAUCCGGGGUCACCACAGUGUAAUAAACCGCCAACUUAUUCAGCAUAUGUUUUUCACAGCGGAUGCCCUUUCAGCUGCAACCCAUCACUGGAAAACAUCCAUACACACUCAUUCACACACACACACACUCAUUCACUAUGGACAAUUUAGCUUACCCAUUUCACCUGUACCACAUGUCUUUGGACUUGUGAAGGAAACCAGAGCACCCGGAGGAAACCUAUGCAAAGACGGGGAGAACAUGCAAACUCCACACAGAAAUGCCAACUGACACAGCCGAGGCUUGAACCAGUGACUUUCUUGCUGUGAGGUGAACGUGCUAACCACUGCACUGUGAUUAGAAAUCAUCAUAAAUUUAAUUCUUGAUUUAAAAGUUUUAAAUACAUUUAUUGUGUUUUUCUUUCUGCAAUAAAGGAAUAUAAACAGG